rnacentral:rRNA from 1 species
AUGGCGCCGCCGUCGGUGUCGCGGCAGGUGGCGGAGAUUGCGGCGGAGCCCGACCGCGCCGCCGCGUACGCGUGCCUCCUCCACCUGCAGCGCGCGUGCGCCGACGACCCCUCCGCCGCGGCCGACCUCGCGGCGGCCUCCCCCUCCGCCCUGCUCCCGCUCCUCCUCCGCGACGCCGCCGAAGAUGACGAGGCCGUCGCCGCCUCCGCACUCAAGUGCCUCGGCUUCGCGCUCUACCACCCUGUCCUCGUCUCCACCAUCUCAGGACAGUUGGCUCAAUCGGUAUUGGCUACUUUGGUUCGGCUGAUCAUGACCACCAAGAUGAAGGCUAUUUGUAAUCUUGCAGUCUGGUGCAUUUCUGUUCAACAAUUGGAGGCUUCGGUGGUAGAGGAUGGAGUAACUCCCUUGCUCAAUGCUAUUGUUUAUGCCCUUGACAAUCCAUUUGGUUCUUUGUCUACAACAUUUGAGGCUGUUCAGGCUACCAUGAAACUUGCUAGUCAAUAUCCAAAAGGAAUGAGAGACCAAUCAAGCAUAUGGGUUCCCCCAAUAUACCGAAGACUCUUAAGUGCUGACAAGCCGGAAAGGGAUAUGUCUGAAAGAUGCCUCAUUAAGGUGUCAUCAGUUAUUUUACCUCCUCAAUCUCCUCUUUCUAAGGAAGUAGCUUUGGACCUUGAGCAAAAGCUACUCUCUUCUAUGCUUGAUAUGCUCAAUGACCCUUCAAAGAAAAUUCAAGCAGUAAAGUCAUGGGGAUGGUUCAUAUCCUUACUUGGCGCAAGUGCAGCGAGCACUAGACCUCUACUUAACAAAAUGCUUAAGGUCCCUGAGCAAUUAUUUACUGAUCCUGAUCCUCAAGUUCAGAUAACCACAAUGGCGAAAUUGCAGGUUAUCUGGAAAAAUUUGGUGGAUGCAUUUUUUGGGCCACAGGUUUUAGAAAAUAUGGAUCAGGGGACAGUGAUGUCUCCUAUUGAACCCAGAGCACAUGCUAGUGCUCAGAUGAAAAAGAUAAGGCUAAUUAUGAUGCCUUUAUGUGGAGUUCUGUCAAGAAGUCAUAAUAUUGCUUUAAGUUCCUCCUGCUUGAGCACAUGGCAUUACCUUUUAUAUAAACUUGGUGAUUUGAUUAACCAUUUAUCCAUUCUAGAGGCUGCUUUUGGGCCAGUACUCAAGAUAAUUUUCUCCACUAGAUUUGAUAAUCAGAACAAGCCACUGUGGUCAUUUUGCAUCAAUCUGUUUCAUGACUUUAUUUCAGUAAGAGCUAGGCAUUUGAUCUCACCCGAUGAUGAUGUGCGUGUUCCACUGAAUCAGAACUUGCUAUCCCAAACUUGUGCGCAUCUCAAGGCCUUGUUUGAUGUUCAUCAGAUCAAAUGGUUACCAUGGGAUGUUACCAGCUUUGAUUUUCAGUUGGAGAUCCUUGGCUCAAUUGUGAAUCCAGAACUACUUCAUAACAUGACUGCCGACAUGGCCGUAACUGUUAUGGACUCCACAACACAAACUUUCAGGUUGCUUCUAGAGGGAGUUCAAGUUCAGUGUAACUCAAAGUUUGCUGAUGACAAUGUCAUGAUAUGCAUUACUAAGGUAUGCAAGUUUGUAAAGAAGGUGUUUCUGGAUACGGUAGGAAAGCAAAAGAGUAACAGUUCCGCAGUGUUGGUACAGUUUUGUCUAAAGUUUGUGAAGUGUACUGUAGAGGAACUGGAUAAUUCUCUGUUGGCUUCUGGAAAGUACGAGUUAUGCGUAGACAUCGAACGGAUAAAGGAGAUUGAAUAUGCAAAAUGCAGUCCAAAGCUAUCUCAUCCAAGGAUCAGGCCACUUGCUUACAUGGAGUUGGUUUCUCCAGCAGUUUACUUGACUGCACUAUCUCUGUCAAUCGUAGCUCAGUUUACUGGAGAAUUGUCACAUGGAGAUGCCGAGCAAUUGGCUUCAAUUAUCUGUCCACCUGAUCUACUGGAGAACUUUCAUGCUGUGGUUCCUUUUUUGUAUAUGCAGAUCAUGCGUCCAGUAGAUAGCCGGCUAAGAAUAAAAUGGUUGGUGGUGUGGAACAAAGUGUCAAAGCGCUUGAAUGAGCAAAUGAUCUCUUACUUGAAGGCUGGCUGUGGUGCAAGUGGCCAUGAUGUACUCUGUCAGUUCUUCUGUUACCCAUUUUUUGCUCUUGUAUCCUCUGGGAGUAUAUCUGCUCAUUGGAAUGCUGAAAAUCGUUUCGAGGGUUACCUUAACAUGACACAAGACUUGGAGGCGGAGCUGGUUAUUGAGGUUUAUCGAUCCUUUUGUACAAACUCCAGUUAUUGUUCAGAGCCUGUUUACAUGGUUUUCCUAGAGCACUUUUUUGAAUAUUUGAUAAACAUAGUUGAUGAAAACAUGUCCUCAAUCCAAGCCAAUCUCAAGUAUUGCUUAGAGAAUAAGUCUAAAAACAUUACUAUCCUAUCUGUUCUUGGUAACGUAGUUAUUGGACUACUAGAGAAUGCCCAAAUUUUUAACUAUGCUAACAAAGAGAGAGAAGUAACGACAAAUGAAGAUCCUGCUGGAUGCAGAGAACCUAACCUUUUCUUGGGUAGCUUGAAGCUUGCUAACAGGUUUAUGAAGCUAUCAGGUCUUGCUUUCAAAGAAAAUCCAGCUGCACAACACCAAGUCACAAGCAGGUAUUUCUCAUCUUUAUCUGAUUUUAUUGGGCAUCUUACAUCGACGAAAGACGUUCUUCUACUCUUUGAGAUUAUUGGGGAUCAGUUCACUGAGUGGCUCACCUUAUCUAGCACAUUGUACUGCAUAAUACGUCAAGGAGAAACCAUUGAUCAGCUUGAGAAACUCUGGCUCAACAGUGUCACGCACCUGACGGCGAACCGGCUCAUCAGUGACUGCUCCUUCCUUGAGAAGCAUCGUCUGCUUCUCCAAGCGGCGAUUAAUCACCCGCACAGCCCCAUUUCAGCUGCAACCACAGCAAUCCAGAGAUCGCCAGGAUCCAGCAACGCAGGCCUGCGGCACGCUGGACGUCGUUCAGUUUCCAAGGCGGAUGAGCUGUUUCUAGACAGGCCAGGGAAGGAUCCUAACUGCGCCAGCAAUGCCGAGAGGGUCUUCGCGCUCGAGGAAUUCAACAUUUCAAGGAUGUCCGUGGCGCCAGUGGUGUCGGGUAGAGGGACUGUCAGGUCAAGCACGACUGACCGUAGGCAAAGUAAUGGUGAAUCACUCAGGGUCUCCGCUGGUUUGGGGAGGAAGAGGCUGAAGAUCAUGAGGUAUUCAGGCAACGGGAAGGGACUCGGCAAAGUUACCGACGCCUCCUUCUCGCCGGGCUGGGCGGAAGGUGAAGUUUGCAGGAAACCAGAACUGAUAUUGGAAAUGCUCAAGAGGAAGAGAUAG